rnacentral:lncRNA from 1 species
CGCUUAGGUAACCACCCAACUCUUUCCAUCUGUAAAAUGAGAGGUGAGCUAUGUAGGUGAACACUAAGAGCCCUUGUUUAGCUAACAUUCUGUGAUUGCAAGGGGAGCGCAAGUGAACUGGAUGUGAUGGGCCACAGAACAAUGAGCAACCUGGAGAGCGGGAAGAGAGGGUUUUUCUAGAACCAUGUGUUCGAAAUUGGGAGUCCUCAGAGGGGCUGCAGGAAGCGUGCAAGAAAAACGGAAGUGAGAUUCCAACAGGAGGGCACCACUGUCCCUGUCUGACCUUAAACCAGGAGAUUUUGUACAGAUGUAUUCCUUCAAGAAAACCAGCUUGUUGGCAGUAAUAGAGAAGAAAUGAGCUUCUCCCAACAACAGCCAACAACAGCCAAUGACAACAGCAAAAUAGGAAAAAGGGUUGCCCUCUGAAAGGUCUGGAGGCUGGGCAUCUGAGAUCGGGACCAGCAUGGUUAGGUUCUGGUGCAGCCCAGAGCAGCAGGAGCUGUGCCCUGGCCCCUGUCCUGAGGAGCUCCCACUGGUCAGCCCCGCCUACUCCAGCUGGACCUUGAUGCUUCACACAAGGUGUGCGCAGAGGACACAGGCACUUCAUGGAGCAACAUACUUUUGUAAAAAAAAUGAAUUCCCUUGUAACAAAUAGAGCACGGAGGCUUUUAUAGAUUAAGUAAUUUGUAGUCUUCUUAUAAUUAUGGCUUCUAAAUUACCUAAAAUAAUUCAUUCAAGGCUUGAUUUUAGUUUUGUCUUGAGAGUGUCAACUCUUUAACUUGAGAUGCUGUAGGAUGGGGUUUCAUCUUGGGAUUCUUUUCUUGGAUAUGUCAUUUAAAUUCUGAUACUUAUAUUCCCUAUUUGAAAACACAUGAUCAAUGACAAUACCAAUACCUGAUUUGUGUGCAAUACUUAUAAUUUACAACGUACAUUAUUUUAACAUACAUUCUUUUCAUGCGACCCUCUCAACAACCCUUUGACAAGGCAAGUCAGAGACUAAUUACUAGAGAUUAUUCAAGCGACUUGCUCCAAGUCAUACAGUAGGCAGGCAGCCAAGAUGACUCUAGUUUUUCCAACUCCUAGUCCCACACUCUUUCCUCUCCCCUUACAUGUUCUGAUAUAAAUCAAACUUAGGUUUGAAAAUAUCUUAUUGAUGUAUUUCAACACCCCAGAAUUUGAUGAGACUGGAAUCGAUUUGUUGUGAUCUGUGAUUGCUGAAUUCCUCGUAUGUGGUGGAUACCAAGGUAAGUUGACUAGAAUGUGAGCUUGCCUACCCAGACACCAGUUCCCAUGUCCUUUGUCCGGUGGUAUAAUUUGAAGUUCACUCUUUUUGGUGUACAGUUUUAUGAGUUGAGUUGUGAAAAACAUAUACAGUUGUGUAUCCACCACUACAGUCAAGAUAUAGAACAGUUCCAUUACCUCAAAAAUUUUUUUCAGGCCGGGCGCAGUGGCUCACGCCUGUAAUCCCAGCACUUUAGGAGGCCAAAGCGGGCGGAUCACGAGGUCAGGAGAUCGAGACCAUCCUGGCUAACGCUGUGAAACCAUGUCUCUACUAAAAAUACAAAAAAAUUAGCCAGGCGUGGUGGCAGGUGCCUGUGGUCCCAGCUACUUGGGAGGCUGAGGCAAGAGAACCGCUUGACCCUGGGAGGCAGAGGUUGCGGUGAGCCAAGAUCGCGCCACUGCACUCCAACCUGGGCGACAGAGCGAGAGUCCAUCUCAAAAAGAAAACAUCAUACUCUUUUGUAGUCAACCCUAGCUAGGCCCCUAUAGUUUUGCCUUUCCCAAAGUAUCUUAUGCAUGGAAUCAUCCAGGAGAUAACCUCCUGAAUCAGGCUUCUGUCUCUUAGCAUAAUGCAUUUGGGAUUUACCAUGUUAUUUCAUUUAUCAGGUUUUUGUCCCUUUUCAUUGCUGAGUAGUAUUUCAUUAUAGGAAUGUACUCUCGUUUGUGGAUCAUUCUGAUCAACUCAGCACAUGUGGAUUAUUUCCAGUCUUGGCAAUGAUGAAUAAAGUCACUCUAAGCAUUCACGUACAGGUUUUUGCAUGAAUAAAAU